AAAUCUGGUUCCGAUACCCGUGGUGAGCACAUAUUGCCCAUUGCGUAGCUUUGCGCUUAACUGUAAGCAAACAAAGUAUAAGCAAGAUUUGACGAUAAAGUGCCACUACCGCGUGAAAAAAAGAAUCUUCUUUCGAAUACCCAUCCUUUCAAAUUAGUUGAGACAAACAUUUAUAAAAUGUUAUCAAUGAGCUUGUAGCUUAAUCUGUGUUUAACUAACAAUUCAAAAACCAAUUUUAACUCACAAUUUCAACUUUAUCUGUUUCGCAAUGAUGAUUUUAAGCAGCAUCGGUUUCGUUUAGUCACUCGGGUUGCCUCGGAACUCAAUGCUGAUUACCUAACGAACUAGAAAUUGCUUAUUGUUAAACAAAGAAUAAGAGACAGGUAUCCCUCCUUCAAAGUCAAUUAUUCUUCUAGAAUUUAAACUAUUUAUUAUUGUUAUUACGUGUGAAAAAUGUUUUGUUUUGUAUUAAAAUAGCUAACUAUGAAUUAGAGUUCGUUUAGUUCGAGAACAAAGCACUUCCCGAACAUAAGUACGGACUUGACGUCACGACCGCGUGACUUGUGGCGAAGAAACAUGCAACAAGCUUUUCCACGAGAAACAGUGUUCCAGUUUUACUCAUUUUUGUAUUGCAUUGUAUCCUGAAGAAGACGUAUGUCGAAAUAGAGGUAUUAAAGAAUAACAUUAUUUUGUCUAAAGUUACAGCUUGUUUCUUUUUUUUUUUAUUAAAUACGUAGUUUGGUUAUUUGAAAACGACACCUGGUAAGCGCGUGGUUUAGAAAGUGUUGCUGGAAAUAAUGCAGUCUAUCUAACAUGUGCAUUAAAAACACCUGCUACUUCAAAUAAUCAUGAUACCUUAGAAUGUAUGUGUGUUUACAGUAACAGGCGGACAUUUGUCUUUUCAUAUUCUGCUUACAUAGGUUUGAUUAAUUAGGGUAACAUGACGUACGAUGUUGAAUAGUACAAGUUACUAAAAAAGAGAGAUAUUUAUUUCUAUAUGUAUAUUUAACGUUUUUUCUUUAUUGUGAUAGAUCAAAAUUUUCAAUUGCAUAUCCCCGUAAAUUAUUAUUCUAUGAUCUUUGAUCAGAUCGGAUUUCACGCAUUACUCUGUAAAAAAAAAAAAA